UUAAGUAAUGAUCAUCCUCUCCCUACCUGCGCAUCCAAAGCUCUCUUGUAGUACUGUGUUUCUUCCAUCUUCUCUUUUAGGUAUUGGGCUCUUUGUGCAGCAAGCCUGAUAUUUAAGAAGCAGAGAAGACGAAAGAGCCACUUUGCAGUUUGAGUACAGCAACACAAGCUAGCCUUAUCAAAACAUGUUCGGUAUUAACAGGAAUGUGUACAUGAUGCAUAAAAACUCAUCAUCCAUUCUGGGAGCUCUCCUGAUAAGAAAAGCCAACACAGAAGCCUGUUUGGAUGCAGCAGCACUUUCUGGUGUCCUUAAAGAUUUAUAGACAUGAGGAGCAAUAUGACCAGCUGCUUCAAGCUCUCAUGCCAUGGUGUGCCCAUCCUUGAACUGUGAGCCAAAAUAAGCCCUUCUUUUCUUAAACUGCCUUCAUCAGACAUUUAGUUACAGCAACGAGAAAAAUAAUACAGAAGCAAAGGCAAAUGAUAGAACAGAGUUCUGGUAACUCAGAAGAAAGUGGUGUGGACCAAGGUGGUAGCAGCAGAGGUCAUAAGAAGUGGCUGCAUUGUGGAUAUGUUAUCUAGAUGUGUCGGAAGUACAGUUGGCUGAAUUUUCUAAUAAGAUAAAGAACUUUCGCUUUCUCUCCAUGCCACAGAGUGUUUCCUACCACAAUCCUAACCCCGCACCUCCCACCCCCUGAUCAAACAUAGUCUCAUUCUCUUACUUCACACAGGCUCCAGAAACCAAGAAGUGAGGUCACACAGGAUGUGGGAAUGGUUUCCAACAUUACCCAGGAAAAUGGCUUUCAAUGUUAUUAUAAAUAUUUGCCAGUGUUUUUAGCUAUACAACAUGAACAUUAUGCAAACAAUGUAACAGAGAAAAACACAUGGGAAAAUAGUUCUACAAAUUCCCAAAACAAAAUUGCCGAGCACUUUAAGUAUGUAAGAACCAAAAGAGAAGCUCUGUCGGCAGCCCCAACAAAUGACGUAAUUCAGACCCAAGGAAAUAAAGGCAAUGGCACAAUGAGAGAGAAACUCACCAUUAAACAAGUGUACUCAAAGAGAGAGAUGAACUGGAGAAUCAUGGGAAGUAAUUAAAAGUGAGACCAAAGAGCUGAUGACAUGGUAGAAGCCUGUGGACCUGAGUUCAAACCCUGAACCCCACAUGGUGGAGGAGAGAACUGACUCCUAAAACUGGCUCCUCUAAUUAAAACAAACAGAGGAGAGGCAAGAAAGAUACAUUCUAUAUAUUAAUAAAAUAUGAUAUAUAAAAAUCCGAACUAUAUAUUUGAAAUAAAAAUGAGAAUGCUACUUUAAAAGCAGCACAAAAAUAAGAGAAAUAAAAAGGUUUUUUUAAUAGAGAAAAAAAAGAUUCAGGUGCUCCAAUAUGCAUUUCAUAGGAGCCAAAAUGAAACAAUAAAGAACAAUAUUCUAGAAAACAAUGGCUAAGGAUUUUCUAGAAAGCCGUAUGUAACUCCUGUGAAGAGUGAGAAAAGCAAACACUAAGAAAGGAAAUGUAAAAGCUACAAGAAGGAAAAACUCAAAGGUCUCUUUGGGACCUGUAACAGGAGAAAGUAGAGGCAUUUCAUUAAAAUGCCGAGGAAAAAAAUAACCAUCAACCAAGAAUCAGCAACACAAUACUAGUCCACUUAAGCAGUAAAAGAAAUAGAGGAAAAAGCAUAAAAAGAAUAGCAGGAAAAAGCAGAGAACUUGCCCAAAGAAUCAUUACAGAACACGCAGAAAGACAACAUAAACAGAUACGUCAGAACACUGGUGAAUAAAGAAAUGAUGGAGUGCCAGGCCUGUGUGACAAACUUACCUUCCGUUUGAUGUCCCUAUAAAACUGUCGUGAGAUUUGUAAACCCUCAGAAAUCAACAAUGCCUGCAGAGUUGGGAAGCAGCUUGUGAAAGCAGUCAGGCCUGCUGAACUCUCCCUGUGCUAUAGCUGCCUCAGCUGAAUAACAUUCAUUCACAUGUACCUGGAUUUCCCUUUAGAUUAUGAGCCCUGGUCACCUCUAUAGUCCCCAUCACCUCCCACAUGGAAUGUUCUCAGUAAUACUUAAUAAAGUAAUGGAAGAAUUACUAAGAUUUCCUCAGUCCGGGGAAGACUUCAAGAUUAUAUUUAGCAAAGUGCAGAAGCAAAAAAGGUCAGCG